rnacentral:rRNA from 1 species
AGAGUUUGAUCCUGGCUCAGGAUGAACGCUGGCGGCGUGCCUAAUACAUGCAAGUCGAGCGAACGGACGAGAAGCUUGCUUCUCUGAUGUUAGCGGCGGACGGGUGAUUAACACGUGGAUAACCUACCUAUAAGACUGGGAUAACUUCGGGAAACCGGAGCUAAUACCGGAUAAUAUUUUGAACCGCAUGGUUCAAAAGUGAAAGACGGUCUUGCUGUCACUUAUAGAUGGAUCCGCGCUGCAUUAGCUAGUUGGUAAGGUAACGGCUUACCAAGGCAACGAUGCAUAGCCGACCUGAGAGGGUGAUCGGCCACACUGGAACUGAGACACGGUCCAGACUCCUACGGGAGGCAGCAGUAGGGAAUCUUCCGCAAUGGGCGAAAGCCUGACGGAGCAACGCCGCGUGAGUGAUGAAGGUCUUCGGAUCGUAAAACUCUGUUAUUAGGGAAGAACAUAUGUGUAAGUAACUGUGCACAUCUUGACGGUACCUAAUCAGAAAGCCACGGCUAACUACGUGCCAGCAGCCGCGGUAAUACGUAGGUGGCAAGCGUUAUCCGGAAUUAUUGGGCGUAAAGCGCGCGUAGGCGGUUUUUUAAGUCUGAUGUGAAAGCCCACGGCUCAACCGUGGAGGGUCAUUGGAAACUGGAAAACUUGAGUGCAGAAGAGGAAAGUGGAAUUCCAUGUGUAGCGGUGAAAUGCGCAGAGAUAUGGAGGAACACCAGUGGCGAAGGCGACUUUCUGGUCUGUAACUGACGCUGAUGUGCGAAAGCGUGGGGAUCAAACAGGAUUAGAUACCCUGGUAGUCCACGCCGUAAACGAUGAGUGCUAAGUGUUAGGGGGUUUCCGCCCCUUAGUGCUGCAGCUAACGCAUUAAGCACUCCGCCUGGGGAGUACGACCGCAAGGUUGAAACUCAAAGGAAUUGACGGGGACCCGCACAAGCGGUGGAGCAUGUGGUUUAAUUCGAAGCAACGCGAAGAACCUUACCAAAUCUUGACAUCCUUUGACAACUCUAGAGAUAGAGCCUUCCCCUUCGGGGGACAAAGUGACAGGUGGUGCAUGGUUGUCGUCAGCUCGUGUCGUGAGAUGUUGGGUUAAGUCCCGCAACGAGCGCAACCCUUAAGCUUAGUUGCCAUCAUUAAGUUGGGCACUCUAAGUUGACUGCCGGUGACAAACCGGAGGAAGGUGGGGAUGACGUCAAAUCAUCAUGCCCCUUAUGAUUUGGGCUACACACGUGCUACAAUGGACAAUACAAAGGGCAGCGAAACCGCGAGGUCAAGCAAAUCCCAUAAAGUUGUUCUCAGUUCGGAUUGUAGUCUGCAACUCGACUACAUGAAGCUGGAAUCGCUAGUAAUCGUAGAUCAGCAUGCUACGGUGAAUACGUUCCCGGGUCUUGUACACACCGCCCGUCACACCACGAGAGUUUGUAACACCCGAAGCCGGUGGAGUAACCUUUUAGGAGCUAGCCGUCGAAGGUGGGACAAAUGAUUGGGGUGAAGUCGUAACAAGGUAGCCGUAUCGGAAGGUGCGGCUGGAUCACCU